rnacentral:ncRNA from 2 species
GCGUCAGGAUCGGGAGAAUCCGGUUGGGCCGAAAGCCCGUUCUGGUGCCGAAGGAGCAACCGCCCCGGUAAACUCUCAGGCGCAAGGGACCGUUCUGGCAGC